rnacentral:snRNA from 1 species
AGCUUUGCGCAGUGGCAGUAUGGUAGCCAAUGAGGUUUAUCCGAGGCGCGAUUAUUGCUAAUUGAAACCUCAAAGGCCACUCCCAGCGACACUUCAUCCAACAAGGCCACAUUUCCUAAUCCUUCCUGAAC